AUACAUAUGCACACAGGUAGAAUUACAUUAGAUGGUGCAAAGUGUGGGCAAAGACAAAAAGAAUUGUGUUAGUAGAAAGAACAUAACACAGAAUAGAAGAAUAUGAGCAUACAAAUGUACGUAUGUUUGCAUGUAAAUAUGUGCUUGUGCACAUAUAGAAUGUGGAAGUGGAAAAGUAAACUUACCGGUCGCUCGGUCGAUGCUUGAAGUUGCUGUUCUAUGUAUUGUUGUUGGUGAUGAUACUGUCGCUGCAGCUGAGUUGAGUGAGGUAGGUUAGGAAUAUCCGUUGGCAAUUGGCCUGGCAAAGAUGCUGCACGCACACGCACACAUAAAUGUUGAAUGUACGAAGAAGCAGCUACUUCGAAUUUGUUUCGAAAAUGUUGAUUUUUAUUUGUUAAAUUUUGGGAAAUAUUUUUUUUAUGGAAUGCAAUGCAAAUAAAAUACAAAUAAAUUUCCUACACGA